GCCCAGGUGGCUCAGGGGUAGAGCACGUCCUUGGUAAGGACGAGGUCACGGGUUCAAAUCCCGUUCUGGGCU
rfam:Pseudobacteriovorax antillogorgiicola strain RKEM611 genome assembly, contig: Ga0139084_101